rnacentral:rRNA from 1 species
AGUAACGCGUGGGUAACCUGCCUCAUACAGGGGGAUAACAGUUAGAAAUGACUGCUAAUACCGCAUAAGCACACAGUACCGCAUGGUACAGUGUGAAAAACUCCGGUGGUAUGAGAUGGACCUGCGUCUGAUUAGCUAGUUGGCGGGGUAACGGCCCACCAAGGCGACGAUCGGUAGCCGACCUGAGAGGGUGAUCGGCCACAUUGGAACUGAGAGACGGUCCAG